CUGAAAACAGACUCAGUGUCACCAAGGUGACACACAGAGAGCACACGGCAUCACUGAUACCCCCUGUCCUUAUUACUCCCCACAGGGAACAAGUCCAGCGUGACACCAGCAACACUCCUGAAGAUCAUAUUGAAUAUGCCUCCGUGAAUUGGGUGGGAAGCGCCAGGCAUCCACAGCCCCAGAUUGAAGAGACGCCGACAUAUGCAGCGAUCACUCUGCAGCGGGGCAGAUAUCAUUAAUGCUCCAGUUGCUGAAAUGCAGGACUCGUCACAGCCCAGCCACAUCAAAGACCCUCCCGAAAUCAGAAGCAACUGUAGGGGGCAUGCAGUCAGAAAGUGAGAGACCUUCUCUGGGGCCACAGCUAGACAAUGCACAGUGACCCGAAGUGCUGUAGGACACUAGAAUAUACUUAGGGCAAAUGCUACUUGUUUUCCUAUUAGAAAAAAAAGUUUCUUAUGAAUAACAUUGGGAAAAAUACCCAAACCCUAUAUUUCUACCCCCGGACUCUUUAUAUGGACAACUCAGCUCCCGAGUCCUCUCAGCUCUGUUUAGUGAUUCCAUUGCCAACCCAAAGUAUCCAAAAAUCAUGAGCCCCUCCCUCCCCCUCCAAAUCCCAAGAUUAACUCAAGAAUUCAUAAGGUGGUUGUUUUUUUUAAUUAUACAUUUUGUUUGCUUUUAUUGGACUUCUGGUGUUUGACCUUUUGGAGGUCAGGUUUUCCAGGUGUUCUUCACAACCAGGAGGGCUAGAAAUGUACACAUUUCAACAAAACCCAAGAUUCUCACAUAAUCCCAGCACCUCAGGAGUGGGGCUUUAAGAAAAAUGGCAAAUAUUAUGAGAUGUGCUGUGAAAUCAUGAGAACUGACAACAGCAUCACGGUCAACUUUGAAUUUGCAGGAAUGUUUAAUGUCAUGUGGGUUUGUAGGGAUGUGAUGAAAUAUAAAUGUCAAGCAAAAAAUAUUAGUCACAAGCUAUGGCUUUGUGAAACUGUUUGUUGGCCUCAUCCAGAGAGUGCAGCCAUGUGGAUGCAAGAGAACAUCAUGCCAGUAUUUGGCUCCGUGGAAAGCAGUCACUGCAUGAAGCAAUUACAUCGCUUUGGUGUAUGGGUUUGAGCUGAUGUUUGGCAGGAAUUGUAGACUGAUGGCCAGGUUUCUGUAAGUGCCAGCACCCAGCAGCUGAUAAAAACUCUCAUUUGAGAACAAUGAUUAACAGCUACUGGGUCCUGGGUGCUUUGGAAAAUCUAGCCACGGCAUUUAGGUGCUUAAUUGAGAGCCGAACUCUGGGAAAUCUGGCCAU